rnacentral:rRNA from 1 species
AGCGAACGCUGGCGGCAGGCCUAACACAUGCAAGUCGAACGAAGUCUUCGGACUUAGUGGCGGACGGGUGAGUAACACGUGGGAACGUGCCUUUAGGUUCGGUAUAACUCAGGGAAACUUGUGCUAAUACCGAGUGUGCCCUUCGGGGGAAAGAUUUAUCGCCUUUAGAGCGGCCCGCGUCUGAUUAGCUAGUUGGUGAGGUAAAGGCUAACCAAGGCUACGAUCAGUAGCUGGUCUGAGAGGAUGACCAGCCACAUUGGGACUGAGACACGGCCCAAACUCCUACGGGAGGCUGCAGUGGGGAAUCUUGCGCAAUGGGCGAAAGCCUGACGCAGCCAUGCCGCGUGGAUGAUGAAGGUCUUAGGAUUGUAAAAUCCUUUCACCGGUGAAGAUAAUGACUGUAGCCGGAGAAGAAGCCCCGGCUAACUUCGUGCCAGCAGCCGCCGUAAUAC